rnacentral:tRNA from 1 species
AAAAAUUUAGUUAAACCUAUAACAUUAGCUUGUCAAGCUAAAAUUAUUUACACAAUAAUUUUUA